rnacentral:rRNA from 1 species
UACGUAGGGUGCAAGCGUUGUCCGGAUUUAUUGGGCGUAAAGAGCUCGUAGGCGGCUUGUCGCGUCGGGAGUGAAAACUCAGGGCUUAACCCUGAGCCUGCUUCCGAUACGGGCAGACUAGAGGUACGCAGGGAGGAACGGAAUUCCUGGUGUAGCGGUGAAAUGCGCAGAUAUCAGGAGGAACACCGGUGGCGAAGGCGGUUCUCUGGGCAUUACCUGACGCUGAGGAGCGAAAGUGUGGGGAGCGAACAGG